AUGAUCUACUUUAUGGGAUCACUUCUAUAGUCGAUUGCCGGGUUUUCCGCCGGAUUCUGGAAUAUUUUCAACCCGAUGAGGACUUUUUAAGUGUAAUCCUCUGAGGGGAAGAGCCCCAAAGGUUUUUGCUUGGAGAUUUGUACCUUUUCUGACUCGGUUCCCGAUGUUGGAGGAGGUCACACAGGCUGAGGGUU